AAAUAUCAAUACACAGAGGGCGCUACC
rnacentral:sRNA from 1 species